AAAUUCAAAAUAAACACGAAUAAUUUGGAGUUAGCAUUUCAAGAUGGUGAAGCGAAGAACUAUACGAAAAAUUAUUGAAUGAUGAUUCGUAUGCCAUUCAAUAUGUGAAACUAAUAAUCCAAAAUGGAUUGUAUGUAAUAACCGAUGGCGGCAAGGAGAACUUAUUAAGGGAAAUAUAUCGGCUGCAAGGAGAUAGGGAAACAUUGAUAUACAACGUAAACAUUAAUGAAAAUCAGAACCUUUGAAAUGAAUAGUAUAUCGACAAAGAAAAUGAAUCUUUAACUUCAGCACUAUUCGAAGAAAGUAACAAUCCGAAAUAUGCAGAUUCUUGGACUGAUUCGGCAACUGUAUUUAUGCUAGACAAAUAUAAAUUAUACCUUUCUCAAAUAGGCCCAAUAAAAAAAUUUAAAUCGAAGAAGACAAUGUGAGCAGAGAUUUCAAAAGAAUUGCAAAAAAAUUGUAAUGUUUCAAAAACACCACUACAGGUUGAAAAUCGUUAUAAAACGGUUCUGAAACGAAAAAAGAAAUCGGUGGAAAACAAUCAUAAAUCAAGCAAUUCGCGGGAAGAAGUCCCAUUUGAAGAAGAGUUAAGAGAAAUUAGCCAAGUUGAUGAUAGCAUUGAGCCAUAAGUACUUAGAAGUGCAAAAUCUGUGAAAUACCUAAAAAAGCCUCUAGUCGAAAUCAUUUCAUCACAUCAGGAUUCAAAUACUACGACGUAAGAAAAAACGCCAAAGAUUCUCCUCCAAAGAAAAAGUGUAAAUUCAGCAAUGAAGAAUGAAAAUUAGAAUUAUUUAAACAACAAGAGGAGGCGAAGGAAAGGAGACAC